rfam:Perkinsus marinus ATCC 50983 gcontig_1104296622204, whole genome shotgun sequence.
CACCUGGUUGAUCCUGCCAGUAGUCAUAUGCUUGUCUCAAAGAUUAAGCCAUGCAUGUCUAAGUAUAAGCUUUAAACGGCGAAACUGCGAAUGGCUCAUUAAAACAGUUAUAGUUUAUUUGGUGAUCGAUUACUAUUUGGAUAACCGUAGUAAUUCUAGAGCUAAUACAUGCGUCAAGGCCCGACUUCGGAAGGGCUGCGUUUAUUAGAUACAGAACCAACCUAGGCUCCGCCUAGUCCUUGUUGGUGAUUCAUAAUAACCCGGCGAAUCGCACGGCUUGUCCGGCGAUGGACCAUUCAAGUUUCUGACCUAUCAGCUAUGGACGGUAGGGUAUUGGCCUACCGUGGCGUUGACGGGUAACGGGGAAUUAGGGUUCGAUUCCGGAGAGGGAGCCUGAGAAACGGCUACCACAUCUAAGGAAGGCAGCACGCGCGCAAAUUACCCAAUCCUGAUACAGGGAGGUAGUGACAAGAAAUAACAAUACAGGCAAUUCUGUCUUGUAAUUGGAAUGAGUAGAUUUUAAUCUCUUUACGAGUAUCAAUGGAGGGCAAGUCUGGUGCAGCAGCCGCGGUAUUCAGCUCCAUAGCGUAUAUAAAGUGUUGCGGUAAAAGCUCGUAGUGGAUUUCUGCUUGGGCGACGAUCAC